rnacentral:rRNA from 1 species
AUGGUCCGAAAGGGCGUGGGUUCAAAUCCCAUAGCUGUCAUAUUUUUUGGAUCUGAUGAGCUCCGCUUUUAUUAUUACCUCUGCGCUCGACAGCCAACUCUCCCCUGCUCUUUUUCACAUCAUGUUCUCACGGAACCACCCUCAUCCCUUCUCAGCAAUGUCAAAAAAAAGAAAAUCGUUGAGGACGACAAUACAUUUGUUUUUGUAUUGCAUUCAUAUAUCCAUGCCAAAAUUUCCAAUGUACAGUUGCAUGUUUUCCUCAAAAAUGUUGUUACAACAACUAGUCUUUUUAAUGUUCUCUUAAAAAACAUUUUUUUCAUGUCAAAUAUCACAAUCCUGUUAUUUCUGUAA